rnacentral:rRNA from 1 species
UCUGGUUGAUCCUGCCAGUAGUCAUAUGCUUGUCUCAAAGAUUAAGCCAUGCAUGUCUAAGUACAGACUUAUACAUAGUGAAACCGCGAAUGGCUCAUUAAAUCAGUUAUGGUUCCUUAGAUCCUACAAUCCUACUUGGAUAACUGUGGCAAUUCUAGAGCUAAUACAUGGCAAAACAGCUCCGACCUCACGGGAAGAGCGCUUUUAUUAGAACAAAACUAAUGGCGGUCGCAAGGCCGUCUCACCUUGGUGAUUCUGAAUAACUUUGUGCUGAUCGCAUGAGCUUGCCUCGGCGACGUAUCUUUCAAAUGUCUGCCCUAUCAACUUUCGAUGGUACGUGCUAUGCCUACCAUGGUUGUAACGGGUAACGGGGAAUCAGGGUUCGAUUCCGGAGAGGGAGCAUGAGAAACGGCUACCACAUCCAAGGAAGGCAGCAGGCGCGCAAAUUACCCACUCCUGGCACGGGGAGGUAGUGACGAAAAAUAACAAUACGGGACUCUUACGAGGCCCCGUAAUUGGAAUGAGUACACUUUAAACCUUUUAACGAGUAUCAAUUGGAGGGCAAGUCUGGUGCCAGCAGCCGCGGUAAUUCCAGCUCCAAUAGCGUAUAUUAAAGUUGUUGCGUUUAAAAAGCUCGUAGUUGGAUCUCGGGUCCAGGCUUGCGGUCCGCUCCUUGGCGGUCACUGCUUGAUCCUGACCUACCUGACCGGUUUUUGCCCUUGGUGCUCUUGAUUGAGUGUCUCGGGUGACCGGAACGUUUACUUUGAAAAAAUUAGAGUGCUCAAAGCAGGCGAUUUGCCUGAAUAAUGGUGCAUGGAAUAAUGGAAGAGGACCUCGGUUCUAUUUUGUUGGUUUUCGGAACCAGAGGUAAUGAUUAAGAGGGACUGACGGGGGCAUUGGUAUUGCGGUGUUAGAGGUGAAAUUCUUGGAUCGCCGCAAGACUAACAGCUGCGAAAGCAUUUGCCAAGAAUGUUUUCAUUAAUCAAGAACGAUAGUCAGAGGUUCGAAGACGAUCAGAUACCGUCGUAGUUCUGACUUUAAACGAUGCCAACUGGCGAUCCGCCGGAGUUGCUUCACAACGUCGCCAUUUUGAUUUUGACGUCAUUUUUCGAUUUUGAAUGCUACAUCUUGUAAGAAAGAUUCAAAGUGAGAUCGAAUUUGUAAUAUUUUUAUAUAUCAUAUUUCAUGUAUCAUGAAAUGAUAUCGUAGCUAGAUCGAAAAUAGGAAGUUUGAUGUGAUCAAAAGAGGAUCUAUAAUGAUUUCGAAAAAUAGAUACCAUCUUAAACUAAAUGAAUUGUUCUAUAUCGAUCGAUUAUGAUUUUACGUCAAUGAGUCUUUGCUCGGAUGACCUUCACUUCAAUAUGACUUGUAUGUAUUAGUAUGAAAUAAAAGAAUAACCAUUCAUGGUAUUCUUUUUGUCUCAUAAAACACAAUGUACAUGGAAAAAAUGACGUAAAAUUGAAGAUGUUAGUCGUAUUUCUCAAAUACUGCGCCUACGUCCUCAUUUUGAUUGCGACGUCAUCAAUUUUCUCAAAAACUGCGCCUACGUCCUCAUUUUGAUUGCGACGUCAUUGUCAAUUUUAAAUACUACAUCUAAUGAGGUAGCUUAAAAAUCAAUUUGGAGAUGUAUCAUAUAAUUCAUAUGAAAUAACAUCAUAAGAUCGAGCAUAGGCAAUUUGAUGUGAUCAAAGGACGGUAUAAAUUGAUUUUCGGAGUAAAAUAGUAUAUUCAACG